UUUAAUGCUCCAUCAUCUUCUUCACAAAGGAAAGGAAAAGAGAAACCCUAACUUUGCAACCCGCCAUCGCCACUCCGCCGACGUCAGUCCGAACCGAUCGGCUACAUCAGGUGCGUCGUCUUCACCGUUCGAAGUCGCAUCGCUCCACUAUAGUCGAACCAUUCACGAUCGCCAGCCGUCACGUGAAGCUUCGUCGUGUCGUACCGCCGAGCAGCAGCCAUCGUCGAUCGUCAGCCGCACGUCUUCAGCCGUUCACAAUCGUCGAGCCAUCUUCGUUGAGCCAUCCGAGUCGUCGUUGGGUGUCAGCUGCAAGCAACUUGAGCCGAUUCGCCCUCAACCCAACCUGUGUGAGUCCGUUCGUGCCAGCUGCCAGCAUGGAUUCGAGCCGCACGUGGCCCCAGCCGAGCGGCGCCUCCCCUCUGCGAGCCACGCCUGCCUCCCAACCGAGCCGCCAAGCUUUUUGUGAGCCACAAGCUUGUUUUUUUUGGGUCAUUUCCACAUGUUUUUGGACCAGUUGAAUCAAUUGAAGUUUGGGCUGUGGAACUCUUUCUAGUUAAAGGAAAUUGUUGCAACCUUGAUAUUGGGACUUCGUUGGUUGGAAAGCGUGUUUUGCUGUUAAUUUCGACCGAACUAAUCUCCAGAGGCAGAGAAAAAGGUAAGAGCAAAGGCAAGCUGGCGAAUGACCAAAAGUGACCGUGGCGAGCCAUAGGGACACGUUUGCAUCUGCUUGUGUCAUGUGUCAGAUUUCAGUGUUAUAUUUCCUUUCAUUCCAUUUAUGUUUUACUUAUUUCCUUGUUUUUCCUUUAAAACUACUAGGGCCCGAGAUAGGAUUUUGUUUUAAUUUAUUCCCAUACGCUCUAUUUAUGAAUUUAUUAAUAAUUUGCAGUUUUGUUUUAUUUUCUAUUUAAUUUAAAUAAACUUUAUUUCUUUUCUUUUAAAGUAAAGUCCUCUACUUAGUGUGAGAGAUUGGGUCUUUACAUAAACACUCAGGAUGUACUUUUGAGAACUAAUGUGUGACGAUACAACAUUAUGAACAUAAGAGAUGGAUCGGCUAUUCAAGGAUGCUUGAGGCUAGGAUUGCAAGUCGUUAUUGAUCAAGGGGGAGUAAUCCUAUUAAUGUUAUGAUUAUUGUUUUUGUGCAAUAUAGUUCUAAUUGUUGAGUCAGCCCAUGGUUAGUACGUUGGUUCAUGUUUAGAGUGUUGUACCCUGGUUUAUAACAUUGUAAUGAUC